AUUGAACGCUGGCGGCGUGCCUAACACAUGCAAGUCGAGCGGUAACAGGUGUAGCAAUACAUGCUGACGAGCGGCGAACGGGUGAGUAAUGCUUUGGAAUCUUCCCAGUAGUGGGGAAUAACCAGUCGAAAGAUUGGCUAAUACCGCAUACGUCUGUAAAGGGAAAGCGGGGGACUCGCCUCUUCUUCGGAAGAGAGGCCUCGCGCUAUUGGAUGAGCCAAAGCGGAUUAGCUAGUUGGUGGGGUAAUGGCCUACCAAGGCGACAAUCCGUAGCUGGUCUGAGAGGACGACCAGCCACACCGGAACUGAGACACGGUCCGGACUCCUACGGGAGGCAGCAGUGGGGAAUAUUGGACAAUGGGGGAAACCCUGAUCCAGCGACGCCGCGUGUGUGAAGAAGGCCUGGCGGGUUGUAAAAGCACUUUUUAGUGGGGACAAAAAGCUACGGAUUAAUACUCUGUGGUCUUGAUUUAACCUACAGAAAAGCACCGGCUAACUCUGUGCCAGCCGCC
rnacentral:rRNA from 1 species